CCCCAUUGGAAUGUUUGGUUGGCAUUUUGGCCACUCCGCAAAACUGAAGCACAGCACGUGACUUCGUGAUCUAACUAUCUCCCCUCUAUUCUCCAAACUCCCUCUCCUAUUCCAUCGCCUCCAGCACUCAGCUUUUUGCCUGCACUUCAGCGCUACAAUUCCCAUUAUAACUUCUUUGCUUUUGUUUUGUUGCUUCUGGAGAUUUUGCCAAUUUCGUCAAGGAUGGUGAUAGAGCGUGGAACGUGCCCUUCUUCCUACGUCUCUAUAAGUUUGAAGCUCAACUUGCAGAUCUGAGUCCUGGUAACUCCCAGGUAGCAUUCCCAUGAUUGAAGCUCGCCGCGGAAGCGAAGGAAACCGCGGGCACAAACUGCGCUGGAACAGUGGCAGUCAGACCGCGGUGAUACUGAUUUGUGUACUCAUCCUCCACGAGCGAAUCCAGAAAUGAAGAGAAUAUGUCCUCGUUAUGGCAGUUAUGAUCAGCAUAACUCUGGCCAAAGCUGUUCAUCAUCGUGAGUCCCUCCACAUUUUGCCAGUUGUCGUUGUUGUGUGCUUGGACAACGCUGUUUUGAGGCUGCCCCAGGUGGCCGUCCACCACUUUCAGAUUGUUCUCGUCGCUGGUUUCUUCCACUGGUACUGAAGGAUUGGGGUAAGUUGCUUUCGAUGUGAAUGUUGAAGCAUUAUAAGUAUUUUGUAAAUGGGCUGCUGGUGAAGAACUAGGGUUAUGGUUCGAUAAUGGCUUGUGAUUCCGGGGAUCAAUUCCUUGGCUGAUGAGCUUUUUGCUGAGGUGGGUGUUCCAGUAGUUCUUGAUCUCGUUGUCGGUGCGGCCCGGGAUUCUUCCAGCUAUCAAAGACCACCUGUUCAUGGUUUCAGCAACCAAGAGGUACCAAAGUAUAGACAUAGUCAACCUCAUUGUCCAAUAUCUCUCGAUCUUGCCGUUCUAGAUCUAUCGAGUAGUCUUUCCUUCGAGUUGGCAUAAGAAACUUUUGUUCAACUUACUAUUUCUAGCUAAAUGAUUUGUUUAAAA